rnacentral:rRNA from 1 species
AGUGAACGCUGGCGGCGUGCCUAAUACAUGCAAGUCGAACGCAAUGGCGCACGGAUGAGUAAUAUAUAGUUAAUCUGCUCUAUACAGAAGAACAACAGUUGGAAACAACUGCUAAUACCACAUAUUGCAGGAUGAGACUAUAUCGUAUCAGCUAGUUGGUAAUGUAAUGGCUUACCAAGGCUAUGACGCGUAACUGCUGUGAGAGGAUGAUCAGUCACAUGGGAACUGAGGCACGGUGCAAAGUCCGAAGAGAGGCAGCAGUAAGGAAUAUGGCGCAAUGGGGGAUGCCCUGACGAGGCACCGGGGCGUGGAGGAUGACACUUGUCGAGGCGUAAGCUCUGUUUAUCAGGAACGCGGUACCCGAUGAAUAAGCACCGGCUAACUCCGUGCCAGCAGCCGCGGUGAUUC